rnacentral:piRNA from 1 species
ACUUUGUGAAAGUAAGAACUGCUGG